rnacentral:lncRNA from 1 species
GAUCCGUUGGUAACCACCAAUAUGCUCUCAGCUCAUUCACAUUGAACUUCUCUCGAUUCGACAUAUACGAGGAACUAUUCUGUGAAAAUUAUUGAGACAUAUUUGGGACCCAUCCCUUGGGGGAAAGUCGUAAGUGCACUCAUUAGGUGAAUAAACAAUAUUCCCUAUACCUAUAGAGUGGAAUACCACCCAGCAUCCUCUCACAUACAAAGAAAGAACAAAUUGCUGAUAGACACAGAUGUCCAUCAAUCUCAAAAGUCGUCAUGAAACCUCUGGAAGAAUUGAGCUGGUCGACUAUGCAAACAGUUGUCAAGAGCCUAUAAAAUAUGCAGCAUAAAAUUUUUCCUUUGUAGUCAAACCUGAUUAUUCCUCUUAGAUACUGGGAACAGAAUUUCACAGUCGUCAGAGAAUAUACCUUUUGUAUUUUCGUAUUAAAUAUGUACUCCUAUUACUUAACAAUUGUAGUUUAACUCCUUUUUUAGGUAAAAUUCUAAUUUUUCUCUUCUGUUAAAAAUUUCCAGUUCCAACACGAAGAUAAUAAAGAAUAUUAAUUUUAUCCUUAUUAACUUGAAGGAAGUAAUAUUUAUUUUUGUAUUUCUGUACUUAAGUAUAUCACAAAUACAGAUUUCUGUAGUUGGAGAAUUAAUAUAAAGUAACAUAGUAUUCAAUAAGAAGGGAUUUUUCUUUAUUAAAAAGAGGUCUGAAUUAUAAACUAAAUAUCUGUGUAACUUUGAACAAUUUAUUUAACUUUUUGAAGAUAUUUGAAACUUAUUUCUAAAAUGAGAAAAAUACCUAUCAUGAGGAGCUUUUGUAAAUACUAAAUGAGAUAUAACAUGUAAAGCAGUUAACAAAAUUCUAGGCAUGGUAUGGGUAUUUAAAUAAAUGGAAAGUAUUCUUAAGUUUUAUAGUAAUAGUUUUACAAAUUUUAUAUGUAAUUCUGAUGAUUAAUGGUUAUUUUAAUAUCUUUUCUACUGUAUAUGCUAGGGAGUAUUUUGGAGUAUCAAAUUUAAAUAUUAGUAAAGCAUGAAAAUUUGAUUUAGUAAUAAGUAGACAAAGCAGAAAAAUGCACUAAAUCUUAUUUCUUAUGCAAAUUGGGACAAUAAAAUAUGGGAGCAAGAAAUAAGGCUGAAGUAUGUAUAUGAGCAGAAUAAAAUAAAUUACUGCAAAAUGUAAA